GACGAACGCUGGCGGCGUGCUUAACACAUGCAAGUCGAACGGAAAGGCCCUGCUUUUGUGGGGUGCUCGAGUGGCGAACGGGUGAGUAACACGUGAGUAACCUGCCCUUGACUUUGGGAUAACUUCAGGAAACUGGGGCUAAUACCGGAUAGGAGCUCCUGCUGCAUGGUGGGGGUUGGAAAGUUUCGGCGGUUGGGGAUGGACUCGCGGCUUAUCAGCUUGUUGGUGGGGUAGUGGCUUACCAAGGCUUUGACGGGUAGCCGGCCUGAGAGGGUGACCGGCCACAUUGGGACUGAGAUACGGCCCAGACUCCUAGGGGAGGCAGCAGGGGGGAAUAUUGCAAAAGGGGCGGAAGCCUGAUGCAGCAACGCCGCGUGCGGGAUGACGGCCUUCGGGUUGUAAACCGCUUGCGCCUGUGACGAAGCGGGAGUGACGGUAAUGGGUAAAGAAGCACCGGCUAACUACGUG
rnacentral:rRNA from 1 species